UACGGGAGGCAGCAGUGGGGAAUAUUGCACAAUGGGCGCAAGCCUGAUGCAGCCAUGCCGCGUGUAUGAAAAAGGCCUUCGGGUUGUAAAGUACUUUCAGUCGUGAGGAAGGUGUUAAGGUUAAUAACCUUAGCAAUUGACGUUAGCGACAGAAGAAGCACCGGCUAACUCCGUGCCAGCAGCCGCGGUAAUACGGAGGGUGCGAGCGUUAAUCGGAAUUACUGGGCGUAAAGGGCACGCAGGCGGUUAAUUAAGUUGGAUGUGAAAUCCCCGGGCUUAACCUGGGAAUGGCAUUCAAGACUGGUUAGCUAGAGUCUUGUAGAGGGGGUUAGAAUUCCAUGUGUAGCGGUGAAAUGCGUAGAGAUGUGGAGGAAUACCGGUGGCGAAGGCGGCCCCUGGACAAAGGACUGACGCUCAUGUGCGAAAGCGUGGGGAGCAAAC
rnacentral:rRNA from 1 species